rnacentral:misc_RNA from 1 species
AGAGUAUAUUGCAAGAUUGGAAAAACAUGACACGGAAUAAUU